rnacentral:misc_RNA from 1 species
AAUCUGUGCAUUUAUCAAGGGAACAAGGGCAGGGCAGUGAGGGCUGGAAUUAUUCCAGCAUUGCUAAAGAUGCUCACAGAUUCAAGAAAUUCCAUGGCUGAUGAGGCUCUGACCAUUCUUUCAAUUUUAGCUAGCAACAAAGAUGCUAAGAUUGCUAUAGUAAAGGCUAGCACCAUACCUGUUCUCAUUGAUCUGUUGAGAACAGGUCAGCCCCGCAACAAAGAGAAUGCAGCGGCCAUUUUCCGUGUGCAAAAGAGAACCUGAGAAUCUUGCCUGCAUAAGUAGGCUUGGCGCUGUCAUAUCUCUGAUAGACCUUGCUAAAAGUGGCACUGAAAGGGCCAAGCGGAAGGCUACUUCAUUGUUGGAGCAGUUUCGAAAGCUAAAGCAAUUAUAGCCAAGGUAGUUGUACCAAAAAAGCUUUAUUUUUCAUUUUCUAAUUUUUUUUCUUUCAUUCCAAUUAUUUGACAAUGAUUGCCACACCAUCCUAUUAUAGUUUGAAAGCUGAGAACAUAAGCAAGGGAGACAAAGUCUUUCUGAUUGCUCUGCUUGUAUUUAUUUCCUUCUUAAUGAGUGUGUAAAAAAAUACAAGCAGAG